GAUGAACGCUGGCGGCGUGCCUAAUACAUGCAAGUCGAGCGAAUGGAUUAAGAGCUUGCUCUUAUGAAGUUAGCGGCGGACGGGUGAGUAACACGUGGGUAACCUGCCCAUAAGACUGGGAUAACUCCGGGAAACCGGGGCUAAUACCGGAUAACAUUUUGAACCGCAUGGUUCGAAAUUGAAAGGCGGCUUCGGCUGUCACUUAUGGAUGGACCCGCGUCGCAUUAGCUAGUUGGUGAGGUAACGGCUCACCAAGGCAACGAUGCGUAGCCGACCCGAGAGGGUGAGCGGCCACACUGGGACUGAGACACGGCCCAGACUCCUACGGGAGGCAGCAGUAGGGAAUCUUCCGCAAUGGACGAAAGUCUGACGGAGCAACGCCGCGUGAGUGAUGAAGGCUUUCGGGUCGUAAAACUCUGUUGUUAGGGAAGAACAAGUGCUAGUUGAAUAAGCUGGCACCUUGACGGUACCUAACCAGAAAGCCACGGCUAACUACGUGCCAGCAGCCGCAGUAA
rnacentral:rRNA from 1 species